UCAACCUACCACAACCUCUUCUCCCUCGAAACCGUCACUGAUGGGAGAAUCACUACGGUGCUUAGUGUUGCCCUUUGCCUUGCUUUGAUUUCACAAUCCAUUGCUUCCUCCUCUGCAUGACGUAAAUUAACCUUCGUCGUCAACUACAGAGGAGGAGGAGGUGUACCUAAGUUAAGAAAACUCCAACAUUCAGAUUAGAAUUCAAUUCAAUAGAGUAAUAUUCAGAUAUUUGGACAAUGCGUACCAGGUUGAUAUUGUAAGCUAGGGGGGUACUAAAAAAUAGCAGGUUAAGGAGGUCAAUGAACUUUUCAUGAUCCAUUAGAGCGAGUUCAAGGUGCAACAAAUGCAUGUGAAGUGUGUGAGCUUGACUAGACAAUAAAGAGUACUUACUGGUGUGACUUGUGAGUGAUAAUGAUCGAAUUUAGUUAGGUGCUGGGUCUUUUUAUUCUUUCAUAACUAAUCUUAUCAGUAUUAAUUAAGUGAAACUAUUAGUUUUGAAUUUA